rnacentral:miRNA from 1 species
AACAACCCCAUCAACCGGAAGGAAUCCCUUCCGGUCGAUGAGGUUGUUAUACCUCAUCGAUCGGAAGGAUUUCCUUCAGAUCAAUGAGGUAUAACAACCCCAUCGACUGGAAGGAAUUCCUUCCAAUCGAUGUGGUGGAA